rnacentral:sRNA from 1 species
AGGAACAGAGCAGAAUCACCAGGACUUAUGGGUAGCAGGAUGCGAUGCAGGAACAGCAGGAGACGAAGCCAAUCAGUCAGUGUGAGACUUCAGACGCUGCUCUUGGCCCAAGAAGACAAACCAAGACUUCCCCCACCGAGACCUCGGGUCUCCGACGUCCUUCCCCUGCUGCCUAGCCAGAUGCCCGGUCUUGUCUGCUAGACCAAAGCUGGAAGCCAUGAACUGCUAUGCUUCUGUGCACAAGGAACUGGGCCUUCAUUAUAGUAUGUAAGAGUGUAUACUAACACGUAUCUGUAGCUUCCUGGUGAAACGUGCUUCAGAUGAACACCAAGUGCUCUCCCAUAACUCCACACAUCCACAAUCAAAACAAACCAGCGGCCUGUAAUUCGGGACCUGACCACCUUAUGUUCAGUGACAGAAACCACCUGCCUGGGGCUUUUCCCUUGUUCUAACCCAAAAUUAACAGGGAGAGGAACGGAACACUUGGGCAUCUCCGUGGAGUUUGUUUUUUAAUCCUACUUGAUGCAGCCGUCCAAACCUAAUUAGCUGCUGGCUACACAGAGCGGGGAUGAGGUUAAUUACAUGUCACUAGCUGCUGUGGGUCCCUUUCAUUGUUGCUAGUGUUUCUGUUAUUUUUACACAUAAGAGACAGGCUUCAUUCAAAAGCCAAACUCAUCAGAUGAAAGGUAUUUGCCAGGCAUCUCUGUACCAAUGCACUUUUAAUUGGUUAAAGAAAGACCCAAGGACAACAUUAAUAACCAUCUGCUUACUUCUCUGAAGAGCCUACCUCUCUGUUCUGUUUCCACUGGGGGCCUUUCUCCAGGAAAAAUCCAGAAUGUUCAUAACGUGCUCAUCCCACCAAUGCUGCUGUCAAGACGAUCAGAGCCACAGCCCAGUGAUGCAGCCUGCGGCAGCCUGAGGUUAGGGACCUCAGCUCAGGCAAAACCGGGUCCUUAGCUUUAAUGCAGGAAAGACCUUUGGAUGAGUCAGUACAAGAUGAGAGCUGGAAUUUAUGAAAAGAUCUGAAUACGGAUUUAAAGCACGAGGGUCAAGAGUGUGCAGAUUCUUAACAUUGUUUUUAUGUGUAUGGGUGUUCUGCCUGCCUCUUGUGUCUGCACACCACGUGCAUGCCUAGUGCUCCUGGAAACCGGAAGAGGGUAUCAGAUCUCCUGGAACUAUUGUUAUAGACAGUUGUAAGCAGCUGUGUGGAUGUUGCAAAUCAAACCAGGGUCCUCUGGAAGAGCAACUGGUAUUCUUAACUGCUGAGCUAUCUCUCUAGCCCCAUAUGCAAAUUCAAUAAAAGUUUAAGUUCGUGUUGUUGUGUUGGGUCUUACAAAUCCUGGCUCGUCUAGAAUUCACCAUGUGGCCCAAAGUGGCAUCUCACUCUACUCUUGCCUUAGCUUCCUGUGUGCUGGGAUUCUGGUUUAAGACAAUACUCCUGUGUUUGUUUGCUUUGCUUUUGUUUUGUUUUGUCUUCUUGGAGACAGGAUCUCACUGUAACCCUAAGUAGCCCAAGACUGACUGUGUAGACAAGGCUGGUUUCGAACUCGGAGAGAUCCUCCUGCUUCUGCCUACUGAGGGCUGGGAUUAAAGAUGUGUGCCACCACGCCCAGCUUAAACGCAUUCUACUGUAAGUGCACGUAUGCCUGUGGUGACCAAAAGAGGCUGCUGGGUUUCCUGGAGCUGGAGUUAGAGGGGUUGUGAGCCACUCCACCUAGGUACGUAGAUCCAAACUUAGGUUUUCUGCAAGAGUGGUAUACACUCUUACGCGACGAGCCAUCUCGCCAACCCCAGCCCAGAUUUUGUUUGUUUGUUUAAGAUUCUAGAGUUUCACCAGGAUAUACUUUAAGAACCCACUUUCAUCUUAAUUGUUCAGCCGAUUUUAUAUGAUGUACGAACUAAAAUUAAUGUCAUCAAGGAAACAUGACAGCAGGGAGGCUGAAUGUCCAUUAUGUUCCUGAAAGCAUCAGGGGGAAUCCAGAAAUGUGAAGAAAACUGAAGAGGCAACAUUUCCAGUGCACUUACUGUUGCUGCUGGCCACAUUGAAGCCUUUACCUUGGCACCACAUUUCCAAAGUAGGAAACGCACAAGAAGAGAGUUAUGGACUUUCAAAGACAGGAUUAUCACAGCAUGACACCGGGCCUGCUUACAAUGAUCUAGAUGCCGAGUGUUUGAGGAUUACUGAGCACACAGAUUUACAAAGCAUCCAGGCUGGGAGUGGAGCCCCGGUCAGCCAGGCUGGGAGUGGAGCCUGAGUAACAUGGAUGGGUCAGUCAGGCUGGAAGUGGAGCCUUGAUGAGAUGGAUGGGUCUGCAAGAACACAUCAGGACACCUAUGAUAGUGACUUUCAGAAGCCAUUUGUCUACCUCACUGGGGUCUAUUUAACCUUGCCAGUGUAGAUUCUAAGAGUUAAAAUGCAACUUAAAGUUUGAGGCCCACUACACAACUGGGGCCGGAAGUGAUGAAAUCAUCACGUCAAUGUUGACACAUGUGAUUCUCCUGCAGUGACUCCAAGCAACAGGACACGGUGUUUAUAAUGACUGCAGUUAAAAUGCAAAAUUUCCAUAACUUCACGUUCAGUGACUUCAUUCUCAAAGGCUGCAGACCGACUGGACUUUGGCCACUACUAUCACUGGGAAGCUGUAAUCUAGAAUCUAGAGCUGUGUGGAAGAAGCGGUCUCUGGACUGUCUAGGAACUCCGAUGAGCCUGUGUCCUAUAAGGACUUUCCCAGGAGGGAAGGGACACCCACAGCCUUAGCCCUGCCUUUGGGUCAGCCUGCCUUUGCCAUCACAGUUCGGGCGUGGCUCUUCCUCAUGUCCCCAACCUGGGAACCUCUUGUUUAACCCACAGGUAGUGUUUUUCCAAUGGCCUCGUUGGCACACAGGAAAGUGUCAGAUGGCCCUGUCUGCAGUUAGCAAGAGUAGUCAUAAAUCAUUUAACGGCAGGACACACAGGGGUCACCCUGAGAAGUGUACUGUGAGAAUUCCACUUACUAUGUGAUCCCUAAGCCUAGAAGAUAAAGCCAACUGCUCGCCCAGCCACACAGUGUGUCUGAUACAACUAACGAAGGACCCCUGCACCCACAUGCACAGAAACAGUGUGAGGUUAAAUCACACCAAGAGUCAAGGUUGGCUGGGGUGUGGUUCAGCCGGUAGGGUGCUCGGUUUGAGUAUUCAGGGCCCUAGCUCCUAUCCCCAGGACCACAUAAAACAGGAAUAACAGAGCACACCUGGAAUCCCAGCACCCGGGAGCUGGGGGGCAGAAGGACUAGGAGGUCAAGGUCACUCUUUGUUAAGUGACUUUGAGAGGCUGUGUGCCAAGGCUUGGUGUAGACUGAAUCUGGGACAUCCCUUCAGGAUGGUCCCCAGCUCCGGGGUUAGGAAGUGAUUCCAUCACGAGGGCUCUGCCUUCACAGAAGGAUUGAGCCAAUGACAGGUUUGAAUCCUGAAUAGAUGGUUGGGAGGUGGUGGAACUGUGGAAGCUGGGGCCUGGCUGGAAGAAGUAGGUCACUGGGUCACUGAGGGGUGUCUCGUCCUGACUCCUCCCCUUUCCUGCUCACUAAAAUCUGAGGUACUCCACUCCACUAUGCACAAAACCGUGGGGACAGUGAACAAGAUCAACCUGGCCUUCCUUCAGUUGUCCUCCUGAACUCCUGUUUUAUCAGUGAGAACGCAUCCUCAAAUAAGGAUGGGAGGAAAACACCGACACACAACAGACCUCUUUCCUCCUUGCAGUGACCAAAGAAAACAGGCAGCUUAAAGGAGGACAGGUGGAUUUUGGCUCACAUUUUGGGCAAUAUGAUCUAGUAUGGUAUAAAGCACGGUGCCAGGAACACCAGACCCAGCUGACCGUGUUGCAUCCCCCAGGAGAGAAACCGACAUCAGGGAGGAGUUUGGACUUAUCAACCAAAUGUCAGGGUCCACCCACAGUGACCCACUUCCUCCAGUGAGACUCCACCUUCUAAAGGUUUACCAAGCUCCCCCAAACAGGGGGGCAUUUUAACAUUCAAAGUAUAGCAGUGUGCCGUAUCCUAUGUGUGCUGGAUGGAGCGCCGUGUCAGGUUUGCUGACACCAGGGAGCCAUGGUGCUGUAAUGUUGUCCUGGCUACAGUAUCGCUCAUCAUUUGAAUUUUUUCAGCUUUAUUAUCACGUCACAGGACCAAUUUGUGCACGCCGUCCAUCACAGACUGAGAUGUGGUCACGGGUAUGUGGUAAUUCACAAGAACAUUCAUCCUCCGAGGAGUUGCCCGCAAAGGGGGACUCCUGAGCAGAGAGGAGCAGCAAGCAGUCUCAGAGUUUACAGAUGGAGCUGCGUCUGUCUCUUAUACAACCUGCUCUUCACAGCCAGGGCUCAGCACAGCACAGGGCACCGGUGAUGGUUCUGACUUACCCCUACCUCACCGCCUACACCCUGGGUUCUCAGGUGUGGGGACUUACGGCGCUGAGAUAGGGCCCUGACUCAGCUGCUGUGAUUCCGUAGGAGACAGACGCUUGUUCUCACAGCCUGAGCCAACGCUGACAUCCUAACCUUUCUGUGUCCCAGUGUCCCGGGAGGGAUGAAUGGAGAGACACACAGCAUGCAGACAGCAAUCACAGCCUCCCCCCGGAGCAAGCCCAGCUGCCUUGAGCGACAGAAAUCACUGUCCGGGUCAAUAAUGCAAAAUCAAGAAAUAAUGGCUUUCGUUGUCUGAGAUAAUAAAAUGACAGCACCAACC